GAGUCCUUCCUUGGAGAGUGUCCUAGGCCUGGCGGGUUCGUUUAUCUUUUUUCUUUCUCCAGAAUGGAGUGGAAGACACUCUGUCUGAGACCUCAGUUUCAUCUCUGCCUGGAAUAGUCAAGAAGCUCCAUUGAUGCUUGUAAGGGAUUUUCUGCUAGAAUUGAGUCUUCUGUCCCAAAGAACUGUCAGAAGUGACAGAAAUGCACAAGUGGGAGGAGAAAUGUGAUCAGUCACUCAUAAGAGAAAAUGAAAUGAAUGUAAUAAACACCUUCAUUGGAAUGAGAACCGACAUUUAUAAGUUCAUCAGAAAAUGUCUACAUUUCCUGUCUUACUCCCUUUCCUGGUCAGCGGAAUGGAUCAAUGCAGCACUGGCAAUCUCAUGCCAACAUCAACUCUUUAAAAUUUAGAUAGCUGCUGCUUCUAUGAACUGAGCACCACAGGAAAGAGUGAAACACUGGGAUGAUCCACAGGAAGCAUAUCGAGAAGUUUCAUGCCCAAUCUACGAGUACAAGUCAUGUUCAGAACUCAACAGUCCUCAGUCUGUUCAG
rnacentral:lncRNA from 1 species